rnacentral:ncRNA from 14 species
CCAAAUUUAGACUCAGUAUUUAUAUUUUUAAUUGACAUUUGGACUUCUCCUAAUCACCUCGGUUACAUAGCCGGGGUAUUU